rnacentral:lncRNA from 10 species
GGGCUGUAAUUUAGUUCAAUUCAGAACUGCAGAUAGUACAGCUUCCACAGGAGCAAGGGAUGUCUGAGCACAAGUGGCUGAGUUCCGAGUGACUUUAUGAAGCACUUUCUACCUUCCUCUCCGGCAUGAAAACAGGGAUUCUGCACCUGCAUCAUGGACAGUCUGGCAAAAGCCUCUGCUCUGCCUCCGGGGACAAGAAACUAGAGCAAAUAACCGUUUUGAAAUUGUAAGUAUACCUUUCUUUCCGUCAAGUGUACUGAUUAAAAUAGUUUUAUGUCAUAAACAUCCAAUAUUUGAAGAUUUCUUAAGGGUACUCUUUCAUGUGUAUAUUGAAGGUUAUUCAGCUGGCAGGAAAAUAUUCCAGGGACAAUUGUUGCAUACUUUAUUCUGUUGAGGAUAAAGAAUUAAAAAUAAAAGUCAGGCAUUCCAAAGAGUAGCUGUAGGAGGCUGUGCGCUGGAACAUCGCUCUAGUGUGCUGCUUUGUUCAUAAGAAAAAAUGAAGGCACACGCAUAUGUACUUAGUUCACUUCUUUUUGCUCUUUAUGUCUAAUCAGAUUUGCUCUGUCCCCAAGAAAAA